GAUGAACGCUGGCGGCGUGCUUAACACAUGCAAGUCGAACGGAAAGGCCCAAGCUUGCUUGGGUACUCGAGUGGCGAACGGGUGAGUAACACGUGGGUGAUCUGCCCUGCACUUCGGGAUAAGCCUGGGAAACUGGGUCUAAUACCGGAUAGGACCACUUCUUGGAUGUUGUGGUGGAAAGUUUUUUCGGUGUGGGAUGAGCUCGCGGCCUAUCAGCUUGUUGGUGGGGUAAUGGCCUACCAAGGCGUCGACGGGUAGCCGGCCUGAGAGGGUGUACGGCCACAUUGGGACUGAGAUACGGCCCAGACUCCUACAGGAGGCAGCAGUGGGGAAUAUUGCACAAUGGGCGCAAGCCUGAUGCAGCGACGCCGCGUGGGGGAUGACGGCCUUCGGGUUGUAAACUCCUUUCGCUAGGGACGAAGCGUUUUGUGACGGUACCUGGAGAAGAAGCACCGGCUAACUACGUG
rnacentral:rRNA from 1 species